rnacentral:rRNA from 2 species
AACACGACUCUCGGCAACGGAUAUCUCGGCUCUCGCAUCGAUGAAGAACGUAGCAAAAUGCGAUACCUGGUGUGAAUUGCAGAAUCCCGUGAACCAUCGAGUUUUUGAACGCAAGUUGCGCCCGAGGCCUUCUGGUCGAGGGCACGCCUGCCUGGGCGUCACGU